AGCGAACGCUGGCGGCAGGCCUAACACAUGCAAGUCGAACGAAGCCUUCGGGCUUAGUGGCGGACGGGUGAGUAACACGUGGGAACGUACCUUUUGGUUCGGAACAACUCAGGGAAACUUGAGCUAAUACCGGAUGAGCCCUUAGGGGGAAAGAUUUAUCGCCGAAAGAGCGGCCCGCGUUAGAUUAGCUAGUUGGUGAGGUAAAGGCUCACCAAGGCUACGAUCUAUAGCCGGUCUGAGAGGAUGAUCAGCCACACUGGGACUGGGACACGGCCCAGACUCCUACGGGAGGCAGCAGUGGGGAAUCUUGCGCAAUGGGCGAAAGCCUGACGCAGCCAUGCCGCGUGAAUGAUGAAGGUCUUAGGAUUGUAAAAUUCCUUUACCAGGGACGAUAAUGACGGUACCUGGAGAAAAAGCCCCGGCUAACUUCGUGCCAGCAGCCGCGGUAACAC
rnacentral:rRNA from 1 species